GAAUGAAAUGAUGGUAUACCAUCUUUCGGGACUGACCUGAAAUGGAGACGAACUUUUUAAUGCUGAUCACUC